rnacentral:tRNA from 1 species
ACCUGUUUAGCUUAGUUGGUAGAGCGCUCCACCUGUAAUGGAGAGGUCCCGGGUUCGAUACCCGGACCAGGCG